rnacentral:rRNA from 1 species
UACGGGGGGAGCAAGCGUUGUUCGGAUUUACUGGGCGUAAAGGGCGCGUAGGCGGUAGCACAAGUCAGUUGUGAAAUCUCCGGGCUUAACUCGGAAAGGUCAACUGAUACUGUGCGACUAGAGUGCAGAAGGGGCAACUGGAAUUCUCGGUGUAGCGGUGAAAUGCGUAGAUAUCGAGAGGAACACCAGUGGCGAAGGCGGCUCACUGGCCCGGUACUGACGCUGAGGUGCGAAAGCGUGGGGAGCAAACAGG